rnacentral:rRNA from 1 species
CGUGCCAGCAGCCGCGGUAAUACGGAGGAUCCAAGCGUUAUCCGGAAUCAUUGGGUUUAAAGGGUCCGUAGGCGGUUUAGUAAGUCAGUGGUGAAAGCCCAUCGCUCAACGGUGGAACGGCCAUUGAUACUGCUAAACUUGAAUUAUUAGGAAGUAACUAGAAUAUGUAGUGUAGCGGUGAAAUGCUUAGAGAUUACAUGGAAUACCAAUUGGGAAGGCAGGUUACUACUAAUAUAUUGACGCUGAUGGACGAAAGCGUGGGUAGCGAACAGGAUUAGAUACCCUGGUAGUCCACGCCGUAAACGAUGGAUACUAGCUGUUGGGCGCAAGUUCAGUGGCUAAGCGAAAGUGAUAAGUAUCCCACCUGGGGAGUACGUCCGCAAGAAUGAAACUCAAAGGAAUUGACGGGGGCCCGCACAAGCGGUGGAGCAUGUGGCUUAAUUCGAUGAUACGCGAGGAACCUUACCAAGGCUUAAAUGUAGAUUGACCGGUUAGGAAACAGACUUUUCGCAAGACAAUUUACAAGGUGCUGCAUGGUUGUCGUCAGCUCGUGCCGUGAGGUGUCAGGUUAAGUCCUAUAACGAGCGCAACCCCUGUUGUUAGUUGCCAGCGAGUCAUGUCGGGAACUCUAACAAGACUGCCAGUGCAAACUGUGAGGAAGGUGGGGAUGACGUCAAAUCAUCACGGCCCUUACGCCUUGGGCUACACACGUGCUACAAUGGCCGGUACAGAGAGCAGCCACUGGGCGACCAGGAGCAAAUCUAUAAAACCGGUCACAGUUCGGAUCGGAGUCUGCAACUCGACUCCGUGAAGCUGGGAAUCGCUAGUAAUCGGAUAUCAGCCAUGAUCCGGUGAAUACGUUCCCGGGCCUUGUACACACCGCCCGUC